CUUCUGCUCACCGUGUGGACUCUCCGCACUUGUCAGUCACAGCCUGCAUGUGUGAGGGAGAGGACACCGUUUGGUUGCUUUGCAAGUCCACAGAGAGACAGAGGGAGAGAGAGGAGAGACACUUUGUAGCUGCAAUAUUUUACUCUUUUGCACUAUCCUGUCCUCGUCGGAUGCGCUCGAACCGUCAGGCAGUGAAUGAAACGAGAAAAAUCCGAGGCAGGAAUAGAGAAUUGCUGGAGAACACUGACUGUGGUGGAGUGGAGUUAGCCUGAUGUGCAAAUGGAAACAAGGGUGGGUGGUUGGAAGGCUGAAUAAAGGCUGGUAGAUGACUGAACUCAGAGACCCGGCACAGCUCAUCAUCAUUGCCAUGGGCUCUCAUCUUCUGCCUCUUCCUCCUGUGGCUCGUACCUCCAUCCAGGGGUCCAGCAGAGCCAGCGAAGCCCAGGCGGGGAGCUAGUGAGUGGGCUGGGAAGGAUGGAGAAGGUCCCCAAAGGCUAGAAUCACCUCUGGAGCUACCGGCAUGCAGGAGAAAUCAAUAUGAAACACAGAACCUUCACAGCUCUGAGUGGGGUUUCCUGUGUUUUAAGUGUGUGGCCUAGGGGCCCGCAGACCUCCAAAGGACAGGCCCUGCGUGGCUCUCUCAGCUGCAGUCCUGGCUCCUCAGACUGGACCUCAGUCCGGAUCUCCACUGGCUGUGUGUGGUUCUGCUGAAGGGGAUUUCUCCCCAAAUAAUACCCAAUACCCAGAUUGUUGAAAGACUGCCAAGAGGGAUCCUCCUUUCUCUUGAUUUUUUUUUCUCCAUCAUCAGAUUGACAUACCCCCCUCCACCCCACCUUCUGCCUCCGGCUGUUUAAAAACCAGUUUGGGAGUUCUGCUUUUGACUCACUCUCCAUCCUAAGCUCACCCGUUGUUUAUUCCCCAACUAGUUUUUACAUUUGACAAAGAGACAGUGCGAUCUUUAUUUUCUCUUCCGCUCUUGGCUUGCCGUUACUAUGGUGAGCUGUAGACACGUGUCUGUUCAAACCAGAAAUACUGGCACACGAAGUAUGAACCUCUUUUUUUUCCCUCCACGAUGCCUAUUAUUAUUAUUCAAUUUCAGACUGUUUUUUUAAAAAAAACAACUGACUGACUGAACAGUAAAGAGGGCUGAAGAUCACAGAGCAGACAGACCUUGUAGUGGAGAUGGUAAAAUGGCAAGUAUCUCUCUUUAGCACUCCACAUUUUCCACUCUGUGAACAAGUCU
ensembl:lncRNA